CGUCCUGUGGGGUAGUGGUAGCCCUCCUAACUCUGACUUCGGGCCACUAAAGUGGAAGGUGCUGGUUCGAAUCCAGCCAGGACAU